ensembl:misc_RNA Metazoa_SRP Metazoan signal recognition particle RNA
GCUGGGCAUGGUGGCGCAUGCCUGUAAUCCCAGCUACUCGGGAGGCUUAGGCAGGAGAAUCACUUGAACCCGGGAGACAGAGGUUGCAGUGAGCUGAUAUCAGGCCACUGCACUCCAGCCUGGGUGACAGAGUGAGAUUCCAUCUAAA